UGGGGAAUAUUGCACAAUGGGCGAAAGCCUGAUGCAGCGACGCCGCGUGCGGGAUGACGGCCUUCGGGUUGUAAACCGCUUUCGGCAGGGAAGAAGCCGUAAGGUGACGGUACCUGCAGAAGAAGCGCCGGCUAACUACGUGCCAGCAGCCGCGGUAAUACGUAGGGCGCAAGCGUUGUCCAGAAUUAUUGGGCGUAAAGAGCUCGUAGGCGGUUCGUCGCGUCUGCUGUGAAAUCCUCAGGCUCAACCUGGGGCGUGCAGUGGGUACGGGCGGACUGGAGUGCGGUAGGGUUGACUGGAAUUCCUGGUGUAGCGGUGGAAUGCGCAGAUAUCAGGAGGAACACCGGCGGUGUAGACGGCUUGCUAGACCAUAACUGACGCUGAGGCACGAAAGCGUGGGUAGCAAACA
rnacentral:rRNA from 1 species